rnacentral:rRNA from 1 species
GAUGAACGCUGGCGGCGUGCCUAAUACAUGCAAGUCGAGCGAACAGACGAGGAGCUUGCUCCUCUGACGUUAGCGGCGGACGGGUGAGUAACACGUGGAUAACCUACCUAUAAGACUGGGGUAACUUCGGGAAACCGGAGCUAAUACCGGAUAAUAUAUUGAACCGCAUGGUUCAAUAGUGAAAGACGGUUUUGCUGUCACUUAUAGAUGGAUCCGCGCCGCAUUAGCUAGUUGGUAAGGUAACGGCUUACCAAGGCAACGAUGCGUAGCCGACCUGAGAGGGUGAUCGGCCACACUGGAACUGAGAAACGGUCCAGACUCCUACGGGAGGCAGCAGUAGGGAAUCUUCCGCAAUGGGCGAAAGCCUGACGGAGCAACGCCGCGUGAGUGAUGAAGGUCCUCGGAUCGUAAAACUCUGUUAUUAGGGAAGAACAAAUGUGUAAGUAACUAUGCACGUCUUGACGGUACCUAAUCAGAAAGCCACGGCUAACUACGAG